rnacentral:rRNA from 1 species
UUUGAAAUCUGGCGGUCUCAGGCCGUCCGAGUUGUAAUCUAGAGAGGUGUUUUCCGUGCCGGACCGCGUACAAGUCCCUUGGAACAGGGCGUCAUAGAGGGUGAGAAUCCCGUCCGUGACGCGGACUUCCGGUGCUCUGUGAUACACCUUCAAAGAGUCGAGUUGUUUGGGAAUGCAGCUCAAAAUGGGUGGUAAAUUCCAUCUAAAGCUAAAUACAGGCGAGAGACCGAUAGCGAACAAGUACCGUGAGGGAAAGAUGAAAAGAACUUUGGAAAGAGAGUUAAACAGUACGUGAAAUUGUUGAAAGGGAAACGCUUGAAGUCAGUCGCGUCUGCCGGGACUCAGCCUUGCUUCUGCUUGGUGCACUUCUCGGUAGAUGGGCCAGCAUCGAUUUUGGUCGCCGGAAAAGGGUGGGAGGAAUGUGGCAGCUUGCUGUGUUAUAGCCUUCUAUCGUACACGGUGACUGGGAUCGAGGAC